GAGGGUAUAGCUCAGUCGUAGAGUGUCCAUCUAGCAUGCAUGAGGUCCUGGGUUCAAUCCCCAGUACCUCCA
rnacentral:tRNA from 1 species